rnacentral:rRNA from 1 species
UACGAAGGGUGCGAGCGUUAUCCGGAUUUAUUGGGCUUAAAGGGAGCGUAGGCGGUCUUAUAAGUCAGUGGUGAAAUCUCGGUGCUUAACAACGAACGUGCCAUUGAUACUGUAGGACUUGAGUACAGUUGAGGUUGGCGGAAUGUGUCAUGUAGCGGUGAAAUGCUUAGAUAUUAGAUAGAACACCAAUUGCGAAGGCAGCUCACUGGACAAUUAUUGACGCUGAGGCACGAAAGCGUGGGGAUCAAACAGG